GAGAGGAUAUUUCAAAUAUCAACUCCAAGAUAGUUGUUUUUUUUCUGGGUGAAUCCACAAGUUACAGGUAUGUCUGCUGCCUCUUCCAAAUGGCAGCAGUGAUUUUCUACAAUGCUGAUAAAA